CAGCCGCCGCGGGAAUACGUAGGUGGCAAGCGUUGUCCGGAAUUAUUGGGCGUAAAGGGCUCGCAGGCGGUUUCUUAAGUCUGACGUGAAAGCCCCCGGCUCAACCGGGGAGGGUCAUUGGAAACUGGGAAACUUGAGUGCAGAAGAGGAGAGUGGAAUUCCACGUGUAGCGGUGAAAUGCGUAGAGAUGUGGAGGAACACCAGUGGCGAAGGCGACUCUCUGGUCUGUAACUGACGCUGAGGAGCGAAAGCGUGGGGAGCGAACAGGAUUAGAUACCCGAGUAGUCCCUGUCUCUUAUAC
rnacentral:rRNA from 1 species